rnacentral:rRNA from 1 species
UACGUAGGGGGCAAGCGUUGUCCGGAUUUAUUGGGCGUAAAGAGCGUGUAGGCGGCCACACAGGUCAGCUGUGAAAACUCGAGGCUCAACCUCGAGACGUCGGUUGAAACCGUAUGGCUAGAGUCCGGAAGAGGAGAGUGGAAUUCCCGGUGUAGCGGUGAAAUGCGUAGAUAUCAGGAGGAACACCUGCGGUGUAGACGGCUUUCUGGACCAUUGUUGACGCUGAGACACGAAAGCGUGGGUAGCAAACAGG